rnacentral:rRNA from 1 species
AGUCGAACGACCUUCGGGUUAGUGGCGGACGGGUGAGUAACGCGUGAGAAUCUGCCCUCAGGAGGGGGAUAACAGCUGGAAACGGCUGCUAAUACCCCAUAUGCCGCGAGGUGAAAUGAAUUUCGCCUGAGGAUGAGCUCGCGUCUGAUUAGCUAGUUGGUGUAGGUAAUGGCUCACCAAGGCAUCGAUCAGUAGCUGGUCUGAGAGGAUGAUCAGCCACACUGGGACUGAGACACGGCCCAGACUCCUACGGGAGGCAGCAGUGGGGAAUUUUCCGCAAUGGGCGAAAGCCUGACGGAGCAACGCCGCGUGAGGGAUGAAGGCCUCUGGGCUGUAAACCUCUUUUAUCAAGGAAGAAGAUCUGACGGUACUUGAUGAAUAAGCCACGGCUAAUUCCGUGCCAGCAGCCGCGGUAAUACGGGAGUGGCAAGCGUCUUCCGGAAUUAUUGGGCGUAAAGCGUCCGCAGGCGGCCCUUCAAGUCUGCUGUUAAAAAGUGGAGCUUAACUCCUUCUUGGCAGUGAAAACUGAGGGGCUUGAUUGUGGUAGGGGCAAAGGAAAAUUCCCGGGUGUCCGGGGAAAUGCGUAAAUUUCGGGAAAAAAACCCUUGGGAAAGGGGCUUUUUUUGGGGCCUUACUGGACCCCCCUGGGCAAAAAACCGGGGGAGGCAAAGGGGAUUAAAAUCCCCCGGUAGUCCCGCCCGGUAAACAAAGAAAAC